UACGUAGGGUGCAAGCGUUGUCCGGAAUUAUUGGGCGUAAAGAGCUCGUAGGCGGUCUGUCGCGUCUGCUGUGAAAACCCGGGGCUCAACCCCGGGCUUGCAGUGGAUACGGGCAGACUAGAGUUCGGUAGGGGAGACUGGAAUUCCUGGUGUAGCGGUGAAAUGCGCAGAUAUCAGGAGGAACACCGGUGGCGAAGGCGGGUCUCUGGGCCGAUACUGACGCUGAGGAGCGAAAGCGUGGGGAGCGAACAGG
rnacentral:rRNA from 1 species